GUGCUGCUUGUCUUCCAUAUGUUUUACUAGUGUAUCAAUCGCUUCUUUUCCAAAAUCCUUCUCUCCGCCCCGU
rnacentral:antisense_RNA from 1 species